rnacentral:piRNA from 1 species
UGACAGCAUACUUUCGAUAGUUCUGU